UACAGAGGUCUCAAGCGUUGUUCGGAAUUACUGGGCGUAAAGGGCGCGUAGGCGGUCCGAUAAGUCGGCUGUGAAAGUCCAGGGCUCAACCCUGGAAAGCCGGCCGAUACUGUCGGACUAGAGUCCGGAAGAGGCAAGUGGAAUUCCCGGUGUAGCGGUGAAAUGCGCAGAUAUCGGGAGGAACACCAAUUGCGAAGGCAGCUUGCUGGGACGGUACUGACGCUGAGGCGCGAAAGCGUGGGGAGCAAACAGG
rnacentral:rRNA from 1 species